GGAUUAGUAGCUCAGCCGGUUAGAGCGUCCCUCUUUUAAGGGGAAGGUCAUAGGUUCGAACCCUGUCUAUCCCA
rnacentral:tRNA from 1 species